GUCACGUUUCCGCUGGUCGCGGGAUGAAACGGGGCUGCUCCGGGGCGACGGCUGCUCUUCCCGGGUGCCGCUCCGGGGUUUCUGGAAGCCGCCGAGGCUGAAGCUUCUGGAUUUCCCGCCUCUUCCGGCCUCGACAGCGAGAGCGCCGCCCCAGACCCCCGCCCGAGCUCUCGGCUGACCCCACGGCCGCAGUGACACGUGAUCACACGUGGCCAUCACUUCCCGUGGUUGAGGCGCGGGCCCCGCGCGCCCGGCUGCACGAAGUCCUCCAGGGGCGACCGUCGGAGCCCUGCGCAGGUGCAGUCACCCGGAAGCUCGUCCACCCCCCCGCCCCCCGACCCUGCAGCUUCCGCCCGCCACGCCCACAGCGGAGCCCUUUCCUGGGAAACGCGUCCCCGAGGCUCCACGCACCGCACCUGACGCGACCCGGGUAAGACCUCUCCGGAAACUUUCCAGGUUCUGGCGGGCAGGUGCAGAGACUUGCUCAUCUUGUCGCGGCCCCAGGCGAGCCACGAAAGGGAGUUUCACCGUUCGUCCAACUUGCCACCUCACCGUGUGGAGUGGCCACCGCUUUCUUGGGUGUCUCCUUACCCACCCCCAUCCUCCGUGUACGGGGGGACGGUUUCAGGGGUCUCCCAGGGGGGAUUCCUGAGUUCUCCGGAGCACAACAACCCAUGCGGUCAGAACCGCGCUCGACCCCGCUGUGUAAACAUGAUGAACUGUCCGAGAAGCGAAUUAGCCUGAUGUCACACAGCUGGGGUGAGAACCCAGGCGCUUUGGGGACCGAGCCUGCGCUGGCCGCUCCUCUGCUACACUGUAAGCCAGACCCCUCCACCCCCCAGCUUCCACGGCCUUCUCCCCAUGCAGCUUUCACCCGCAGGCUCCAGAGAAUCUACACCCAAUCCUGAUCUGCGGCAGAAGGCGGAAAAGCGAUGUGGGAAAACUGCUGCCCUCCCCCAAAUGGCUCUUCAUCCUGAGACCUCCGGAGACCACCUGUGAUCUAUUUCAUUCAACUACAACAUUAGAAAAAUUGCCAUUAAAGCCUGUAUAAAGCCAGGCUUUCUUAAGCCUGGUUAAUCAAAAAAGUUCAAUCACUUGUCUGCCAUCCCACAUCUAGUAAAUAAAUGAAAUCAGCAUUUGA